CGGGGUCUGGCGCAAUCAGGUAGCGCAGUUGCUUUGGGAGCAAAAGGCUGCAGGUUCAAAUCCUGCGAUCCCGA